CAAGUAACAUUGUCACUUAUAUCGCACGGGAUAUGCAGCUUGGGAGUUUGCCAAGUAGGGGCUUAAGCCAGGCAAACUAGCAGUAAUUUCCAAAGAGGCGGGUUAUUCCUAGUCCUUUUUCAUAUGACACAAAGACUAUGCCGGUAUAUGAGAGUGAGCACUGGGAUGGAAGACAUCAGAACCAUAACCAAGGAUACCUCCUCUGCUGUAAUAAUCCAAAGCUCAAGAAGCAACAUAAAU